rnacentral:rRNA from 1 species
UACAGAGGGUGCAAGCGUUAAUCGGAAUUACUGGGCGUAAAGCGUGCGUAGACGGUUACAUAAGUCAGGUGUGAAAGCCCCGGGCUCAACCUGGGAAUUGCAUUUGAGACUGUGUAGCUAGGGUGCGGAAGAGGGAAGCGGAAUUUCAGGUGUAGCGGUGAAAUGCGUAGAUAUCUGAAGGAACACCAGUGGCGAAAGCGGCUUCCUGGUCCAGCACCGACGUUCAGGCACGAAAGCGUGGGGAGCAAACAGG